GCCACUCCCCCAUCCACGUUAUAAACGUCAGAACACUAAAGUCAAAUAGUCACACUCACCUGAAAGACACCUUCAUCUGAGGAUCACCUUUAGCUGACAUUCAUUUUACCCAGACGGACACCCUGAGCCCACCAGAGACCGGACACAUUCGGCAGGCGCAAUCAUGAAGGCCACCUUCUCUCUGCUCUUCCUGAUCCUUGCCAUCACUUGCACAGUGAUUUCACAGGACACACAAUACCAAAAAUUCACCACUCAGCAUUACAAAAAGGGCAUGGCGGUAAAAGACUGUAAUAAGAAGAUGGGUACUAUCAACAAAAGUUAUUAUAGCAAUCACUGCAAAGCGGUCAACAGUGUUAUUUCUACAUCUACCACAAACCUCAUAAACGCUGUCUGUGACAAGGCCGGGGAAGCCUACACCAUGCCGGAUGGCAGAGUUCUUCGCAGAUCGUCGCAACAAUUUCGUGUCAUCACCUGCACGCGCAAGGGGGGAUCAGACCGGCCCCCAUGCGAAUACACAGGAUCCAACAGCAUGAGAAACAUCGUCAUCGACUGCAAUGCGGACAAGUUACCUGUGCACUAUGAAGAGGGUCAUAUAUUGUAAGUGAAGAUACCUCUGAUAUAUGUGCAGUGAAAAUGAUAAGAGCUAUGCUAAAAUUAAUGCACUCAUCUAACUGGAGCUUAUAACCAGUUGAAACAAUAUGCUUCACGGCAAUAAAGGCUUUCACUGCAA